UUGGUAUUUUCCUUACAACUUAACAGCUUCAAUCUACCCAGAGCAUCAGAUGUUUGGGAGCAGAGACUAGGCAGGAACAUGGAAAGACGGAGGCCGCUCAUUUGCCUACACAAGGUGCACCACAGCAACUUCUGGCAGCCAUGAGCUACAACUGCAGCCACCCCUGCAAUCCAGCUUGCCUGCAUUCCUGCUGUCCCAUGUGGCACUCAGGGCUACAGGAAUAUGCAAAGGGCAGCCAGGAAUUGAUGCUGCAAAGUCUGUAGAGGCAGAGAGUGGAUUGGAGUACAAAGAAGAAUAUGAAAACACCAGAUUUUUUUUUUUUUU